CUCUGAGCUAGCCUUAGGAUGUUUCUUAGCUAAGCGUUAUUAGUUUGGCUGGCUCACUCUUGGACAGAAAAAAAACAUAUUUAUGGUACUCCAAAUGUAGAAAAACCCAUGGCUUUUAUUUAAUACAUUUACAGUUUCUUGAGAUUACAAAACAUUUCACAGUUUCUAUCUGUAUGUAUAUUUAAAUUUCCUCUAAAUAUCUGAAAUCACACCAUCAGAAUCUAAGUUAGAUGAGAGCAGGAACCCUGACUAUUUCACUCACGUGUGUAGAGCCAAUGUCCCGUCUCCAGAGUAAAGAUUGGAUGGAAUGCAGAAUAUUGAAAUGGAAGGCAGAAUAUUGAAAUGGAAUGCAGAAUAUUGAAAUGGAAUGUAGAAUAUUGAAUGAAUCAAUCAAAGACUUUAACACUUCCAGCUACAGGCAGCUCAUUAUGGCUCAAAGCAGCCAGGCCUCAGAGUUCUUUUUUACAAUGAUUGGACUGUCAUCUCUUCCCACUUGUUUGUUCCAGUUUUAGCUCGUCAGGUCAUGUAGAUUUACUCUACCAUAUAACAAACCUUUAAAUACCUGAACUGAUACUCAUGCCCUACUUUCUCCACCUGACCUCUGAGGUUUGCCUCUGCAGACUAAUAUCCCUAGUUUUCUUUUCUUUUUUUUUUUUUUGAGACAGAGUCUUGCUGUGUCGUCCGGGCUGGACUGCAGUGGCGCCAUCUCGCCUCACUGCAAGCUCUGCCUCCCGGGUUCACUCCAUUCUCCUGCCUCAGCCUCCCGAGUAGCUGGGACUACAGGCACCCGCCACCACUCCCGGCUAAUUUUUUUGUAUUUUUAGUAGAGACAGGGUUUCACCGUGUUGGCCAGGAUGGUCUCGAUCUCCUCACCUCGUGAUCUGCCCGCCUUGGCCUCCCGAAGUGCUGGGCUAACAGGUGUGAGCCACCGCGCCUGGCCUAAUAUUCCUAGUUUUUUAACAAUUGACAUAGUUAUGAGUGUCUUGUGAUACUCUCAUAUGGUCCCUUCUGAGCACAUACCAGAUAGUCACCUUUACAUGGUACUCAGGAUGGUUCAUGGAAGGCCUGGUCUGUGUGGGAUUAUGAUCUUAUGCUUUCUAGAGUCUGUUCAUGCUCUUUGCUAUCAAAUUAACUUUUUCAUUUUUUUCGAGGAAACAUUGUUUUUUUCCAGUGCUUUAGGGAGAACCAUUUUAUUCUUAGUAAAACCCUGCCUCAGUGGAAGGCAAUUGAAGUGGGAGAUAAUUGUUAUCUUGGGGCUGGUAUGGUCUGCAAAUGGUUCCAUAUGUUGUGUCUUGCUUCCAGGUUGACUUAUUUGGAGGUUCAAGAUAAUUGACCACUAAGUCUGGUUCUGGAGAAGUUGGGUUUCCACAUGCCUUACAGUACAAGUGUGGCAAUUCAGGAGGUGAUCUAGAAGCAAGGUGUCCUUGCUCACGGAAGAAUGACAGCGGGAGAGAAGAUCGAAAUCACUGCCCAGGUUAAUAAAGCAAUAUGUGAGAUGACAGUCCAAGUUAGAAACCAGCCAAAGCUUGGAACGUGCUUCCUUGGGGAUUUCAUGUUCAUAUCAAUGACUGAUUUGGAAUUCGGAUUUGCCUUUGAAUGUUGGAGAGCAUGGAAUCAUGCAAGGAUCAGCAGACAGAUCCUGGGUGGUGAUCCGUGAUGUCCAGCUACACAAAAGAAAUGAAUGUCUUUUUUUCCCAAAAGAUGAUGUAUUACAAGAGUCACUACUAAAUCAGCAUCUACGUCAACCAAAUACAACCUCUAAAAGAAAAACAAAUAGGAUGAUAUUAAUCCUGGAGAGUUUUAUUUUGUUUAUAAUUUGGGAUAAUUAAGCUUUGAAGUUUCAUGUUUACUCUUUGAGGAAAGUGUGUCUGGGCUUUACCUCAUUUCCUCCAACCCUCUCUCCCUCUCUGCUCCAGAGACCCAGUGUUCUUUCAGCAACUUGAAAUGUGUUUUCUCUUCCACAGAGAAUAGCAAAUGCUAUUUCUACAAAUGGGAUUCUACCUCUCCCUCUCCCUCUCUUCCAGUCUCAUGUUCUGUUUCAUUUCCUCAGGGACUGCUGCUUUACGACUCCAUGGACUGGGUUGCACCCCCCAUUGCUCCCUCUGCCUUCUACUCUACUUUCCCAGUAUUCAAGACACUCAGAAUCCUCUUUAAUGCCUGUCUUUUUCUGAUUAUAAGCAACAUAAGAACCUGCCACACUGGUUUUAUUCACCAAUGGAUCUCUAGUGCCUUAUUACACAAUAAAUACUUUUUGACUAAGUAUUGUUUGAGGAAAAUGUUAUUUCCGGCACAGAGAAAAUAAUAGCAGAGGCAUGAAGAUAUGAAAGUGUGUGGCAUGUGUAAGGGAAUAUUAAAUUAAAAAUGGAUGUUUUCUUUAAGUAAAUGGUUAUCUCUUUCCUAUGUAACUUAAUUCAAC
rnacentral:lncRNA from 1 species